rnacentral:rRNA from 1 species
GGAAUUGUUCGCAAUGGGCGCAAGCCUGACGACGCAACGCCGCGUGGAGGACGAAGAUCUUCGGGUCGUAAACUCCUGUCGAGCGGGAAGAACACCCGCCGGGUGAAUAAUCCGGCGGGAUGACGGUACCGAGAAGGGAAGCCCCGGCUAACUCCGUGCCAGCAGCCGCGGUAAUACGGGGGGGGCAAACGUUGUUCGGAAUUACUGGGCGUAAAGGGCUCGUAGGCUGCCAGCUAAUUCGGAUGUGAAAUCCCCAGGCUCAACCUGGGAACUGCAUCCGAUACUGACUGGCUUGAAUCCGGGAGAGGGAUGCAGAAUUCCAGGUGUAGCGGUGAAAUGCGUAGAUAUCUGGAGGAAUACCGGUGGCGAAGGCGGCAUCCUGGACCGGCAUUGACGCUGAGGAGCGAAAGCUAGGGGAGCAAA